AAUCUGGUUUUGUGAAUGUGAAUUUUACCCGAAAUGUAAAAAAAAAUGCUCCACUUCAGUAGAUGGCGCUGGUGCGCCAUGUUUGGAUAAAGCAAUCACACUAAUCUACACGUACAAGAAAUAGUAGGAAAGGAAACCUUUGCUUUGGUGUAGAUGAACACUGUAGAACCAUUUUAUUUACUAUUAUUAAGUUAAAGUAUAUAACAAAUUAUUAUUAUUAUUUGUAGAGGCAGAUUCUGUAUAUCUGCAAAAAAAAGAAAAAAAAAGAAAAAAAGAAAAAAGUUAGCGGCUUCCAUUCGAUAGUUUGAGGAAAUAUUAGGAGAUGGUGUCCACUCUCUCCUCUUUUCAGACCCAGUUAGCUUCCAUCAUGGAAACACUCUUGCGAACAGCUGUAUUAGAGAUAAGCAAACUAGUGGAUGUAGAGUGUGAAGUGUUGUUAUCGGAGGUCACCCGCAGCCGCAGUGAAAUCAGCGCACUGAGAAAGAGACUGAGGUUGACGGAGGUCCAGCCGUGGACAAACACUGGACAAACACUGACACACAGUUUCACAUGUGUUAAAAGUGAAGAUGCCCAAGAAGAGAUGCACAAUCAUUUGAACAGGUGUGGAGGUGAGGUCCUUUUUAGAGACAGCCCAACAGUAAUUCAGCAAGACCAAGACAGUCCACAGCAGACGUGUGAGGUCAACCAGCCAAUUAGUAUGAUAAAGCAGGAGCUACAUGAAGUAGAUGUUUGGAUUGGGCAAGACGACAGUGAAGCGGGAACCCAUUGUGGUGAAGCCGUGAGCCUGUCACCCACCAACGAUCCUCUCAAAAUUGUCCCUUGUGUUGACAGAGGAAGUAGAGAAAAUGCAGCUGCAAGAGUCCCAUCUAAAUCACAACCACUAGAACUGAACAGAAACACCUCACCUGGAGAAAUGGUGAACCAAACAGUGCAGUCGUUGUCUAAGAAAUGUACAUCUGAAUCUGAAAACACUUCAUUAAGUCACACACAGAGUUUGAGUGCGUCAAAGUCCACAAGAACAUGCGGUGCCAAUACUAUUUCAGGGGACAAGCGUUUUGUUUGCACCUACUGUUCAAAGUGGUUCAGGUGUUUUAGUCAACUUACAAUACAUCAGCGGAGUCACACAGGUGAGAAGCCAUACAGGUGCACACUUUGUGGAAAGAGGUACAUUCAGAAAGGACACUUGUACACCCAUCAGCGCACCCAUACCGGAGAGAAGCCAUAUCGCUGUCCGCUCUGUGGAAAAGGCUUUAUACAGAAAUGCACUCUAGAUAUGCAUCUGCGGAGUCACACCGGAGAAAGGCCCUACACCUGUACAAAAUGUGGGAAAGGGUUCACUACGAAAUUUAAUCUUAACAAACACCUGUCUUGUCAGUCCUGCAACAGCAUCAGUUAAUGAAUGACAAUGGGCUUGAGGAAAGUGAGCUCUUGAUUGACAUUAGUUUUAAACCCUGCAUUGGUUUGCGUUAUUUAUUUGUUUCAUCAUUAUGAUCACAGGGGUAGAUAAUUUUAAACAAUGUAUAGUUCUGUUAUAAUUCAUGUAGUUAUCAGAUCAGCAUUAAAUACAAAACAUGUAAAAAAAACAAAAAAACAAUGAAAUUUGUUUUAUUUAAUAUUAUUAUUGUAAUUUUUCCCCCCAGAAUGCAAGUAAAUACCACGUUUUUAUGGGAAAACAACUUUGAUAUUCUGCCAUCAUUUCCAUAAAUGUUAUUCUUUUCGUGAUUUUCAACAAAUCAAGGUUUUUUUUACCUAAAACCUUUUAUCGGCGAAUCUACACGGUGGUUUACGGUAAUUCGUCCCAUAAUCCUUUUCUGCCAAACGCUAUUUAUGGUUUGUUUCUACAAAAACACCGAGAAGAAUAGCGACAGUGUCUAUCUAGAAGAAGAAACGGCUAUAUUAUAUUUUUUUUUAUAACAUUAAAGAUUCCCGUAAACGAUCAACAUCAUGAAUACCUCUGAUUUUCAGACGCAGUUAACAUCGAUAAUGGAAAUUAUGGCGAGAACCGCUGUUGCUGAAAUAAGCAAACUUUUUGAGGAAAAUUCUUUGUUGCUGCGAUUAGAGAUUUCACGAUGUACAAACGAAAAUGAAUCUUUAAAAAAGAAAUGUGAUUUUCUGGAGAGUGAACUUCAAUCUGCCCGGAAAACCGCUGGAAAAAUGAACGGGACAGAAGCUCCAUUCAGCCAUCCGGGACUUAGAGGUGACUUAUAAAACGCGUGUUGAAAGCAGUACCAACAAUAUACUGUGAAUUUUGUCUUAAUUACAUGCGAAAUAGAAAGUUACAUGGGGAUGUGCAUUAUCUGAGCUGGUUAACUGAACUCUGUAUGUUCAUGCCCCACAAAACAUGAUCUCUGUGCCCUUGAGUAAUGUUGUUUGCUGACUUUAAUGUCCUUUUAAGUUGUACUUGGUCAUUCUCUGGAAACGGUUUCUGUUCCCAUGAGUUGCUUUGGGAAUAAUACACAGAUUAGUGAACAUUGUUUGAUAGAUUGGCUCUGUUAAUUGUGUAAUGCACAAACUUGAAAAUAAGGCCUUGUUUUAUUUAAAGGGAUAGUUCACCCUAAAAUAAAAAAAUGGCAUUAUUUACUCACCCUCAAGUAGUUCCAAAGUUCUUUCUUCUGUUGAACAUAAAAGAAGAUAUUUUGAAGAAUGUUGGUAAUCAAACAGUUUCUGGUCCCCACUGACAUACAUAGUAUUUUAUUUCUAUAUUAUGGAAGUCAAUGGAGACAAGAAACUGUUUGGUUACCGACAUUCUUCAAAAUAUCUUCUUUUAUGUUCAACAGAAGAAAGAAUUUCAUGCAGCUUUAGAACAACUAGAGGUUGAGUAAAUAAUGGCAGAAUUUCAUUUUUGGGUGAACUAACCCUAUAAGGCUUUGUUUUAUGUAUUUCUUUUUCAUUGUAAUAUCCACCAGUCCCUGUUCAUUGUCAUUACAUUUAGAGAGAAUAAAAAAGCAACUAAAAAACUUAAUAAUUUAAAUAACACAUUUUCUUCAGUUUGUGUUAGUUGCACAUAAUUGUUUUUUUAUAGAAAAUACUGAAAUUGUUCUUCACUUUCUGUUUAGUCCGGUAAUGCCGUGUAUUUCUUCCCUAAUUGUUUGAUCUUUCUGGCAUCAUGGAGCUCAAAACUAUUUAUUUUCUUUUAAUCAUCAAUUUGUUUCUCAGGGAAAAGAAAAACAGUUCUGGCAUUUGGUGUGAUGUGAGGCAUCUUAUAGUCAUUUCAUCCCCUGACUUCAACCCCAAAACAGAUUUGUCACAAUACAAGCUGUAAAAGAAAGUAUUGUAAGAGAAAAUUAUGAACUCGAUGAAGAAGUCAAAGUACUUGAAGCAUCUCGGGAUCAAUGGAGUAGGAAUGAACUCAGAACCUUCUAAACUCAACCAGUUAAAAGUUUACUACCCAAAAGGAAAGAAAAGUCGCCCCUGUUGUAACGGCAGUUAUCUGUAUGUUAAUGAACUUCAGACACCUUAUUGUCUGAAAUGAUUCUCAGAUGGCCUUCCGCUGCUCCCAUUCUACAGUUGACGGCCAUUUUCUCAGGAUCUGAUCUCCAGAAAUGGUGCAAAAGUUUUUUGGGUUGAUCUAUUCCAAAAUUGGGUGGAACAAUAGCUCAGUGGCUCACUAUCGCCUCACAGCAAGAAGGUCCCUGGUUCAAGCCCCGGAUGUGUGGAGUUUGCAUGUUCUCCCCGUGUCAGCAUGGGUUUCCUCCCAUGCCAUAUUGGCAGUAGGUGUGGAUGUGUGUGUGAGUCCCAAGCCAUGCAAUGGGGAGGGUUGGGGAAAGACCUGGCAACCUACACGUAUGGCGAAAGUCGGAUAUGACUGAAAUGGUAAUAUAGAUAGAUUCCAGAAUUAUUGUGACUAGGUUGAAAUAAUGUAUGCUUAGUAACAAUAUAAUAACAAUUGGUAUAUUUCAAGACUGUAGUCAUAACUCUACCUAUUUAAAUGCCUACAUGUUCAACAGACACUGGACAUCGUCCCACAAUUGACAGUGUCUUUGGUAAGGAAUGGUGCAUGAACCUGUGGAGACACCAGGAGUCAAAUGUUGGUGAGCAGGAGGGCGACACACGCCUGGACUCUUCAGUCAUCACAGAAGAGCCAGUAAAUCUGCUGGAUGAAGAACCAGAUGUAAUUAUGAUUAAAGAAGAGACGCUGAAGAUUGAUGAUUGCUCUGGGAAAAAUAAACCUGAGGCAGACCAAAGUAACAGUCUGAAAGGACCAGCAAUGGCCAGUGAUGAGAGUUGUGUUGCCCAGAGCUCUGAAGAUUUUAUCACAUACACGGUACCGUCAGAUGAGCAAGUCCAGCCGAACGUACCACAACAGCCACAAACCGAAGAACAAACUCUCGAAGGAACAAUCUCGACACAUGGAGACUGUACAACAGGGUCAGAUUUGAGCCCUGAUGUUGGAUUUUUUCCCAACAACCUAAGUUUCAACCAGAUGACAGUUACACAAAAGAAGAAAUUAAAUUGUGUGUUCUGUGGGAGAACCUUUGAAUAUUUAAGCCAUAUGACAAAACACAUGCGAACACACUCUGGUGAAAAACCGUUUGUCUGUACAGUUUGUGGUCGACGGUUUGCUCAAAAAACAUAUCUCACAACUCACGAGCGCACUCAUUCUGGUGAGAGGCCGUACGCGUGCAUGGAGUGUGGGAAGAGUUUUUCUCAGAAAUCUUCUCUCAAUGUUCACCUCCGAAGCCACACUGGAGAAAAGCCAUUUAACUGUUUAGAGUGUGGUAAAAGCUACGCAUACAAAAUUGCUCUUAAAUCACACCGGUGUGUUAGUUAGAAUAGAAAUGAUUUGUUACUGAAUAUUAUGUGUACUUAGUUUUAGUAUGAAACUACUGUCUAGGGCUGCGUUUCGUGAGCUGAGUUGAUCGUAGAGACCAUGCAAUGCUUUUGGGAAACGCAGCCUAUUUCAUUAUAUAAUAUCAGUGUUCUCUGUUUGUUGAACAGAUGGAAACAUGUUGGGAUACUAUUGAAUAAAGUGAAUUAAAAAUUGAAAAUUGGAUGAAAAUGCUGAUAGUAAAGGUUGUUUGAAACACUGUGAAAUGUGUUCUUGUGCAGGGUUGCCAAGUUUUCACAACAAAACCUGCCCAAUUGCUACUCAAAACUAGGCCAAUCACGUUUCAGGGGGGUCCCCCAUACAAAAUCAAGUCCCAGGGGAUAAAAAUUUGCUUUUUUGGUGGGGUUUCCCUGGUAAAAUUUGCAUUCCUGGGGCUAAAUAUCAUGUUAUUUGGGGUCACUCGCUACAACCCGCGGCAACAGUAAUAUAGUAGCUCAAUUUCGCGGACUUGGCAACAAUGUUCUUGUGUCCAGUUUUCUGCUACUUUGGAGAAAAAGAGCUAUGGAUUUGUUAUUGCUGUAACUUUUUUAAUAACUAGCCAUGAUAACUUAUAACAUGAUGUUUUUAUCUUUUCUAGUCCCUGAAAUAUUUUACAUUUUUCCUGAAUAAAAUAAUAGUUUGUUUUUAUUAAAUGUGGUAGUAUUUUCUCAAAUAAAUAGUACAGUUUUGAUUUAAACAGA